AGAGUUUGAUCCUGGCUCAGGACGAACGUUGGCGGCGUGCUUAACACAUGCAAGUCGAGCGGUUGAGAUGUGUUUACACUUUUCAAUAGCGGCGGACGGGGUAACGCGUGGAUAAUCUGCCUGUAAGACAGGGAUAACGCCGGGAAACCGGUGCUAAUACCGGAUAACCUCUUUGAAUCGCAUGAUAUGAAGAGAAAAGGUGGCCUCUUUACAAUGCUACCACUUACAGAUGAAUCCGCGUCCCAUUAGCCAGUUGGUGGGGUAAAGGCCUACCAAAGCAACGAUGGGUAGCCGGCCUGAGAGGGUGACCGGCCACACUGGAACUGAGAUACGGCCCAGACUCCUACGGGAGGCAGCAGUGAGGAAUUUUGCGCAAUGGACGCAAGCCUGACGCGGCAACACCGCGUGCAUGAUGAAGGCCCUCGGGUUGUAAAACUCNNNNNNNNNNNNNNNNNNNAAUGACGGUACCUGAGGAGGAAGCCCCGGCUAACUACGUGCCAGCAGCCGCGGUAAUACGUAGGGGGCGAGCGUUGUCCGGAAUUACUGGGCGUAAAGGGCGAGUAGGCGGUUCAUUAAGUCCGGUGUGAAAGAUCAGGGCUCAACCCUGAGAGUGCAUCGGAAACUGGGCAUCUUGAGGACAGGAGAGGAAAGUGGAAUUCCACGUGUAGCGGUGAGAUGCGUAGAUAUCAGAAGGAACACCGGUGGCGAAGGCGACUUUCUGGACCAGCUCUGACACUGAGGCGCGAAAGCGUGGGUAUCAAACAGGAUUAGAUACCCUGGUAGUCCACGCCGUAAACGAUGGGAGCUAGGUGUCGGGGGUAUCGACCCCUUCUGUGCCGCAGUUAAAGCAUUAAGUACUCCGCCUGGGGAGUACGGUCGCAAGACUGAAACUCAAAGGAAUUGACGGGGGCCCGCACAAGCGGUGGAGUAUGUGGUUUAAUUCGACGCAACGCGAAGAACCUUACCAAGGCUUGACAUCCUGUGACAGCUAUAGAAAUAUAGACUUCUUAGUUUACUAAGACACAGAGACAGGUGGUGCAUGGUUGUCGUCAGCUCGUGUCGUGAGAUGUUGGGUUAAGUCCCGCAACGAGCGCAACCCCUACAGCCAGUUGCCAGCACGUAAAGGUGGGAACUCUGGCAGAACUGCCGUUGACAAAACGGAGGAAGGUGGGGAUGACGUCAAAUCAUCAUGCCCCUUAUGUCUUGGGCUACACACGUACUACAAUGGCCUGAACAGAGGGAAGCAAAACUGUGAAGUUAAGCGAAUCCCUUAAAAAGCAGUCCUAGUUCGGAUUGUAGGCUGCAACUCGCCUACAUGAAGUUGGAGUUGCUAGUAAUCGCAGGUCAGCAUACUGCGGUGAAUACGUUCCCGGGCCUUGUACACACCGCCCGUCACACCACGAAAGUCGGCAACACCCGAAGCCGGUGACUCAACCCGAAAGGGAGAGAGCCGUCGAAGGUGGGGUUGGUAAUUGGGGUGAAGUCGUAACAAGGUAACAU
rnacentral:rRNA from 1 species